AUGUUUAGACUGGAUUCCUCUAUUUCACCUCCUAUAAUGGAUCCACUGGAUCCGGGCCACUAUUCCCCUCGCAAGAUAUACUCUCGGAGGUAUUACUAGGGGAGAUUCCCCGCUUAUUUAAUCACUCCCUGGGGACUUUAUGGGACAGUAUGGGGGCUGUUUGAACCGACCAUCUUGGGUUCAGCUCCCAGGAUUGGCCCAUUUUUGUUGGUGAC